AGAUUUAUUUUAUGUGUAAGUGUCCUGUCUGCCUGCUUACAUGAGCACCUACAUGGAGCCUACAAAAGUCAGAAGAGGACAUCAGAUCUCCUGGAACUAGAACUGGGGAUGGCUAUGAACCACCAUGUGGGUGCCAGGAAUUGAACUUGGGUCCUCUGGAAGAUGACAAGUGCUCCCAACCACUGAGCCAACUCUCCUGACACCUACUCUUGUUAACUGUAGGGGCUUCCAAAUUUGGGGGGAUAGAAACCAGGGCCUCCUGCAUGCUAUGCAAGGGAUUUACAGCCGAGCCACAUCCCCAGAGUCUUCCUGGGGUGGAGAGGUGGAUUCUUGGCAAACACUCUACAUCCAGCGCUUCAUGGAGGAUUCUAGAAGCUAUCCUAGAAGCUAUCAUUGGACUCGUCUAAUGAGCCUAGGAGGGGGGUAUCCUACCUUCAUUUUAAAUGUAAAGUUGUGAAGAGCUAGGGAAAUCAAGGGUCUGCCCAGUCACAGCUGGGACUGUGGUGCAGUAGGGAGCCAGAGGCCAGGGUGCUCACCUUAAACUUAGAGUUUUUGACACGUGGACGGAGCAUCUGUCUCUUUCCCCUAUACAUCAAAGAUGUGAAAACUGGCUCAGAUGCCAGGUCCAUAGAAAGUGUGUGGCCAGGCUGUGACAAGCCCUGCCUCACCCCUAUGUAUGUGCCAGGCCCAAGAACAAGCUUGAUUUCAGCACCACGGAUAGCUGCCGGCCUUUGGGAGGCUGCGCACAUCUUGGUUAUAGUUGUUGUAGUUCCUUUAUUAACACCUGUAUUGCUGUUUGUGUGUGUGUGUGUGUGUGUGUGUGUGUGUGUGUGUGUGUGUGUGUGUGUGUGUGUGUGUGUGUGCUGUAUAUGCCUGUGGGGUAUGUGUACAUGUCUAGGGGGGUGUUGGUGCUCAAGUGCAUGGGUGCAGAGGUAGGAGGAGACAACAGCAUCCUGCUCUAUCACUGUUAUUUUCUUGAGUCAGAGUCUCUUACUGAACCUGGAGCUAACCUGGCAGCCAGCAAGCCCCUGAGAACCACAUGCCACUCACAGUGCUGAACUCCUACUUCUUGUCUCCCAAGUGCUGGUAUUACAAGCAUGUGCCAGCACACCCAGUCUUUAAUGCCAUUGUAUGAACUUGGAGACUUUUGGUUCAAAUCCCUUAUGAUGAAACGGAAGCUUUGUGUAAAAACUGGGAGAGCCACACUGUAUUAGAGAUCACAAGGAUAACCAGCAACGACCCCGUUCUCAGGCUGGGAAUGAAUGUCACAUGGAUUAAACAUACGUUUGCCUA
ensembl:antisense Srrm3os serine/arginine repetitive matrix 3, opposite strand